GAGGGUGCAGUUCAGUGGUAGAGCGCAUGCCUAGCAUGCAUGAGGUCCUGAGUUCAAUCCCCAGUAACUCCA
rnacentral:tRNA from 1 species